CUUCCCCAUUUCCCCGUUUCCCCUCUUGUGCCCGACUACCCUCCUCCAUUUUUUUCUCAACCUUCAACUCCGGCACCGAUCCACCUCUAGUCCGACACCACCGAUCAACCUCCGGUCCUCCACGGCUCCAGCCAUUUCCCCCAUUUCCCGUUUCCCUUCUUCCACAAAUCCCUAAUCCCUUGCCCGACUGCCCUCCUUCCUUUUUUUCUCAACCUUCACCUCCGGCACCAAUCCACCUCCGGUCCGGAACCGAUCCACCUCCGGUCCUCCACGGCUCCACCCAUUUCCAGAAUUAGAGAUCCGGUUUAUCUGAAACUCCAACCAAGGUUUCACCAGCAACACCAAGAGUGGCUACUAAACUAGGCAGGGCACUGGUCAAAACAGAGCCGGAUUCACCCUCUCCCAUGCAAGGUACUCGCCAUUAGGUUGAUCGAUCCCCGCGAUUGUCUCUUAACUCAAAGUUGACCAUUGAUCGGAGAUCACUAAAGGCUGCUUUGGCGUCUGAAAAAUCGUAAACACAGGGUUGGUAAGGGAUGGGAACGGCAGGCUAAAUUGAACUCGGUCGAGGAGGAUUUAAUGAUAGCAAAGGAGCAAAUGUCAUUGAUCCAGAAAGAAAAGGCGGAAGCAAUUGAUGAACUGAAAGAAGCACAGAAAGCAGCUGAAGAAGCGAACAAAAAGCUUGGAGAGGCUUUGGUUGCACAAAAGCGGGCUGAAGAGAGCUUGAAGAUUGAGAAAUUCAGGACAGUUGAGUUGGAGCAGGCAGGAAUUGAAGAUGUUAAAAAAAAAGGACAUGAAGACUUUCUUUUCUUUCUUCUUUCCAUGAGAGUUGAGGGAAUAUGAAAGAUCAAAGAAGUAGGAAGAGUUGGAACUUCCAACUUGGAAGAGAGGGGGUUUUCUAAAGUUUAUUAUCGAGAAAACUAGUGUUUUAAUCCUGUAAGAAUAAACUCAUAAUUAAUUAAAUAGUUAGUGAAUUCUAAUCUAAUGUAAAAAAUAAGUAAUCUUAUUUUAUUUUUUUGUUCAUUAUAUACAAAAAAAUAUAACUUUAUAUAA